GAAAUUUUAUCCUCUCGUUCCCAUGUGGAAAUUUCUCGUGAAUGAUACUGCCAUAACACUCGGACCAGAGGAAUUUCUUUAUUACGCAAAACCUGCACUCUCUUAUCCAAUAUUUCAAUUGGUUUCUCGACAUAAGUCAAAUCUUCCCUGAUCGGGAUCGGUUCAUAAUUCAAAACAUGGGACAGAUUAGGCUGAUAUUUCCUCAACAAUGAUAUAUGAAAAAAAUCAUGAAUAUUAGCCAACUCGGGUGGUAGGGCCAGUCAAUAUGCCACGACUCUGAUUCUUUCUAAAAUUUCGAAAGGUCCAAUAAAUCGUGGACUCAGUUUCCCUUUCUUACCAAAUCUCAUGAUGCCUUAAUUAGCAACACUUUAAAAAAGAC
rnacentral:lncRNA from 1 species